AUAUUGAACAAUGGGGGCAACCCUGACCCAGCCAUGCCGCGUGUGUGAAGAAGGUCUUCGGUUUGUAAAGCACGUUAAGUUGGGAGGAAGGGCUUUAGGUUAAUACCCUUAAGUUUUGACGUUACCAACGGAAUAAGCACCGGCUAGCUCUGUGCCAGCAGCCGCGGUAAUACAGAGGGUGCAAGCGUAAAUCGGAAUUACUGUGCGUAAAGAGCGCGUAGGUGGUUCAGUAAGAUGGGUGUGAAAUCCCCGGGCUUAACCUGGGAACUGCUUUCAUAACUGCUGAGCUAGAGUACGGUAGAGGGUAGUGGAAAUUCCUGUGUAGCGGUGAAAUGCGUAGAUAUAGGAAGGAACACCAGUGGCGAAGGCGACUACCUGGACUGAUACUGACACUGAGGUGCGAAAGCGUGGGGAGCAAAC
rnacentral:rRNA from 1 species